rnacentral:rRNA from 1 species
UACGGGGGGGGCAAGCGUUGUUCGGAAUUACUGGGCGUAAAGGGCUCGUAGGCGGCCAACUAAGUCAGACGUGAAAUCCCCAGGCUCAACUUGGGAACUGCGUCUGAUACUGGAUGGCUUGAAUUCGGGAGAGGGAUGCAGAAUUCCAGGUGUAGCGGUGAAAUGCGUAGAUAUCUGGAGGAAUACCGGUGGCGAAGGCGGCAUCCUGGACCAACACUGACGCUGAUGAGCGAAAGCCAGGGGAGCAAACGGG